AGUAAAGUCAGCUAAAUAAGCUAUUGGUUCCAUACCCCAAAUAUGUCGGUUAAAAUCCUUCCUUCACUA
rnacentral:tRNA from 1 species